AGAACAGAAAAUCCCUUGUUAUUUGUUGAAAAAACUCAUUUUGUAUUUCAAGGGUUAGUUUAACACAGACGAUCAGUCGUUUCGUUUCAAGCAAAGUUCGYUUCGCUGUGUGCAGAGUGGCUUUGUUUUGUUCUUACGGUUCGGUUUCAGAUGGCCUUCACGAAACUGUUGUUGCUUGCUUGGUUUACGAUUCUCGUUGACAAAGUUUCCUCCACGCAAGGAASACACGAGAAGAAGCUUCGUGAUCAAGUGUUCAAUCUAUAUGAUAAGACCGUUCGUCCAGUCCUUCACCCCAGUCACAUUAUCAACAUUUCGUUUGGUAUCCAAUUGAGCAAGCUUGUUGAACUGAACACAAAAAAACAACUUCUUGUUACAGACGUCUGGGUUAUACAGG